rnacentral:rRNA from 1 species
GACGAACGCUGGCGGCGUGCUUAACACAUGCAAGUCGAACGGUGAAGCGCCUUCCUUUUUGGUGGGUGUGGAUGAGUGGCGAACGGGUGAGUAACACGUGAGUAACCUGCCCCCUUCUUCUGGAUAACCGCAUGAAAGUGUUGCUAAUACGGGAUAUUCUGGGUCUGUCGCAUGAUGGGUCUGGGAAAGAUAUUGUUUCGGUGGGGGAUGGGCUCGCGGCCUAUCAGCUUGUUGGUGGGGUGAUGGCCUACCAAGGCGGUGACGGGUAGCCGGCCUGAGAGGGUGGACGGUCACACUGGGACUGAGACACGGACCAGACUCCUACGGGAGGCAGCAGUGGGGAAUAUUGCACAAUGGGCGCAAGCCUGAUGCAGCGACGCCGCGUGAGGGAUGGAGGCCUUCGGGUUGUGAACCUCUUUCGCCAGUGAAGCAGGCCUGCCUCGUUUGUGGGUGGGUUGACGGUAGCUGGAUAAGAAGCGCCGGCUAACUACGUG